rnacentral:rRNA from 1 species
GUAGGGGGCGAGCGUUGUCCGGAAUUAUUGGGCGUAAAGAGCUUGUAGGCGGCUUAGUAAGUCGGCGGUGAAAUACCGAGGCUCAACCUCGGCACUGCCGUCGAUACUGCUAUGGCUAGAGUUUGGUAGAGGAGAACGGAAUUCCCGGUGUAGCGGUGGAAUGCGCAGAUAUCGGGAGGAACACCCGUAGCGAAGGCGGUUCUCUGGGCCAAUACUGACGCUGAGGAGCGAAAGCGUGGGGAGCAAACAGGAUUAGAUACCCUGGUAGUCCACGCUGUAAACGGUGGGCACUAGGUGUGGCGACCCGAUCAACGGUUGCCGUGCCGAAGCUAACGCAUUAAGUGCCCCGCCUGGGGAGUACGGCCGCAAGGCUA